UCAGGAAUUUUGGGCAAUGGGCGAAAGCCUGACCCAGCAACGCCGCGUGAAGGAUGAAAUCCCUCGGGAUGUAAACUUCGCAAGAACGGGAAGAAUAAGUAGGGGACAAUACCCCCUAUGAUGACGGUACCGUUUCUAAGCUCCGGCUAACUCCGUGCCAGCAGCCGCGGUAAUACGGGGGGAGCAAGCGUUGUUCGGAUUUACUGGGCGUAAAGGGCGCGUAGGCGGUCAGCACAAGUCAGUUGUGAAAUCUCCGAGCUUAACUCGGAAAGGUCAACUGAUACUGUGCGACUAGAGUGCAGAAGGGGCAACUGGAAUUCUCGGUGUAGCGGUGAAAUGCGUAGAUAUCGAGAGGAACACCUGCGGCGAAGGCGGGUUGCUGGGCUGACACUGACGCUGAGGCGCGAAAGCUAGGGGAGCGAA
rnacentral:rRNA from 1 species